rnacentral:rRNA from 1 species
UACAGAGGAGCCAAGCGUUGUCCGGAUUGACUGGGCGUAAAGCGCACGCAGGCGGCACCGCGCGUGGGGUGUGAAAUCUGGCCGCUUAACGGCCAGGCGCCAUCCCAUACGGCGGAGCUGGAGUGAUGCAGAGGUCGGUGGAAUUGCCGGUGUAGUGGUGAAAUUCGUAGAUAUCGGGAGGAACACCAGUGGCGGAAGGCG